GGAGAAGUACUCAAGUGGCUGAAGAGGCUCCCCUGCUAAGGGAGUAGGGCGCGGAAGCGUCGCGCGGGUUCAAAUCCCGCCUUCUCCGCCA
rnacentral:tRNA from 1 species